rnacentral:lncRNA from 1 species
UAAAAUCCGGACUUCUUGAAAUACACCAAUAGGAGACCUUGGUAAGGAUCUAUCGAGAUGGUUUACGCGAGGAGAUACGGGCAGAGCUUGGGUUGCACGUGUUCUCAACCAUUGACGACAUAAUGCAGGCAUCUUUAGAUGUUGAAGAGGGUGAUGAAUCUGAUGAAUCUGAUGAAUCAGGGAACCGGUCGAAGGAGAAAUCCCGAAGCGGAGAAUGUGAGACGUCG